AGGACGAACGCUGGCGGCGUGCUUAACACAUGCAAGUCGCACGAGAAAGGGUAGCAAUACCUGAGUAAAGUGGCGCACGGGUGAGUAACACGUGAAUGAUCUACCUCCGAGUGGGGAAUAACUGAGAGAAAUCUUAGCUAAUACCGCAUAACACUUACGAGUCAAAGCAGCAAUGCGCUUGGAGAGGAGUUCGCGGCCGAUUAGGUAGUUGGCGGGGUAACGGCCCACCAAGCCUGCGAUGCCUACCGGGCGUGCGAGCGUGGCCCGGCACACUGGGACUGAGACACUGCCCAGACUCCUACGGGAGGCUGCAGUCGAGAAUCUUCGGCAAUGGGCGCAAGCCUGACCGAGCGACGCCGCGUGGAGGACGAAGGCCUUCGGGUUGUAAACUCCUGUCGAGGGGGAAGAGGCCCCGUAAGGGCUUGACUGAUCCCUGGAGGAAGCACGGGCUAAGUUCGUGCCAGCAGCCGC
rnacentral:rRNA from 1 species